UCGUAGGUGCGGUGACGGUGGUGGUGGUUGUAGUUGAGGGGCGGUGACGGUGGUGGUGGUUGUAGUUGUGGGGCGGUGACGGUGGUGGUGGUUGUAGUUGCAGGGGCGGUGAAGGUGGUGGUUGCUGCGGUGGCCGUAGUUGUGGGGGCAGUGCUGGUGGUGGUUGUAGUGGUGGCGGCGGUGGCAUGUCGCUUCCUUCCACCGACAGCUCCGCGUGGGCCGCGGCGGGCUCUGACCCCUGAGGGAGGAGGAGGGGCGGGUGGAGCUGGGCCGGCGGCCUGAGCGCUGUCCUGCCGCCGAGCCCGCGGGGCGGCCGCACGUGCCGCGCUGCCGUUGGCUGGAGGGCCUGGAGGAGCCACCGCCCGGCCAGCCUGCGGGGUCGGGGCGUGCGGCUCUGCGGGUCCGGCCCUGGAGCUGAAGCGCCGUGGUCGCAGGUGGGGCUGCAGCGCUAACUUGGUUAUCCUGAGAACACGCGCUUUCUUGCCCUGGAGAAUUGCUGUUGAAGAGGGACAAGAGAGGAGGACAACGCAGGAGGAGAUAAGUAGCUCUGGCUGGACACAAGGGCAGGUCACAGCACUCGAUAGUCGUUGUGGAACAGGGAAAGGGCCGGGAGGAGGCUGCAGCCUGCAGGGCCGGCUGAUAGCGCGAGCUCCUCCUGGAUCUCCCUGGCUCAGGAGCUGUCUCCCCUCCCCUCCUCCCUUUUUGUACCGCCUUAUUGAGUUGUUGACACCCAACUGAUCGUUCUCAACAGUGUUGAGAAACACUGAUUUUGUGGUCUGCCUUAAAGUUUUAGUCCUUGUUUUACAUUUUAAUAUUGGUGCAUCUCAACCUUGCAGGGGCCUAGAGGUGGCAGCUGUCUCUCCUCAUGGGAUCUAGCUGUUGGAAUUAUUGAGAGAAAGGAUUUCUGUUUUUGACCCCAUAGGAAUAGAUCCAGAAUUCAACCCCAAAUUUGCCUUCUCAGAGAAGUAUAUGCCGUCUAGACUUGGGGACAUGAUCAGAGGCCCCUGCCCCUGACUUUUAAAAUUACCUUUACUUUCUAGAGCUCUUAUACUUUCCAAAGUGCUUUUUCUCACAUCAGCUCACUUGUUCUUACAACAGCCCUGUAAAGUAUUAUUAAUAUUACUAGGCAGACAGCUCUGAGGCACCUGAAGUAUUUCUCUCUCCCCACCUCCAUUCUCUCUUGCAAAACUAUUGCUAGGCUAGUCUUUGCUAUCUUUACAUCAGUUUUCUAAAAUCAAAAUCCUUCGAUCGCUCUCUGUUUGUCCUCCUAUCAGAUUGAACCCCCUCUGCCUAGGUUAUACUGUGGCCUUAAAACCAGGGUCUAAUCCUACUCUAAACCCUUUCUCACCACAGUUCCUGGAAUAAGGCUGACUGUGCCUCAGCCCGCGUGCUUCCCUCAGUAGCGAUGCCUCCUCUCAGACCACCCGUCUGCCUAUUCUUUAGCAUCUGACUCCCCCUUGGAGCCUGCCCAGAUCAUUAACACCUUAAAGAUCCCAUCUUCCUCUGAAUUCCCAUGGUUGCCAUGGCUAUUUGGUCAAUUAUAAUGUGGUUUUAAAGGCCUAAUAGAGAAAAUGUAUAGGAUAGACUUGAUAUAGGGAAGAAAGCACUGAACUAAGUGGGUUGUAAAGACGAUGUCUACUGAGCAGCUGUGGGCUCCAAGUAAGGUUGCUCUGCAUUUGUGGUUCUAUGUUUCCUGAACUGUGAACGUGGAGAGGUUUGGGCCAGGUGAUGCUGAUGGUCCCUUCUCCUUCUGAGGUUCUGUGACAACUUGGUCUUCCUUAUGUGGGAUGGGGUUCGGGCUCUUAUGGAGUUCUUGAAUGAAAGUGUCAGGAAUGAGCACUCAGUGCCUUCAGGACUGGUUCUAUUCCAAAGAUUGCUAAUGCUAAACUUGACAAUCUUUGAAUGCCAUGUGCCUUUUUUGGUAGGCAUUUUAGCCACAAGCAUUCAGGGAAGGUAGCGGGAUGAUGAAUUAGGAACAACAAAGGGUUAUCCUUGUGAAUGACUUCGUAUGAUGGAAUAGAUAAGGUCAACUAUUGGAUAAAUCUAAGUCUUAGCAUUUAUAAUUUACUUUGCAUUUCAUCUUCACUGGAUGGUGCUAUAUAAUAAAUGCAGUUAUGUUUUCCUUUUGCUCAUUUCAUGACUUGGAAACAUUAAAAUAGUCAAAACUCUAGGAUAGAUGCUGAUGACUUUCUGUAAUGAUCUGGUUGGUCACAUGUUGUAAGGAUGCAUAUGCAUGUACAUGUAUUACAUGCACAUUUUGCUUGAAUUAAGAAGGGUACUCCUAAGUUAUGAGGUGCUAUUGUACAUUGACCAGACUUAAGGAUCUCUCUUUAAAGUGUGUUGACAUUUAAUUGACCUUUGAAGGUUCACUCUGUUAAUCAUACUCAGAAUGCUGAAGCUGUGGUUGGCUGCUCUGGUGUUUUACAUCCAGGCAUGCUCAGCAUAUAAAUUCUUCGGCAUAAUUGCUGCUUAUUUAGCAAGAGUUUCCUUUCUUCUCUGAAAAUGUGAGUUGUGUUUUAUUUUUGUAUCUUUUUCUUUUUUAAACUUUGCUUCAGGCUGGAUAGUUUUAGAGGUUUGAAUUGAAAUCCUUUCCUGUCAUUAGUUGUAUGGGGUGUGGUCUCUUAAUAUAGGACUAAUGGAAAUUUCUUGCUUAGUUGAAGUGUACUCUUCUUCUGGCAGAAGUUAGAACUCUUUGAGGUAUAAUGCUAAAAUUUAGAGAAGCUUAACACUUCAACACUACAUAUUUUUAACCUGAUAAACUUUUGAAAAUCUUUCAGUUCCAUUUUUGUAGAUUAAAACUAUCAGUGCUAAUACUUUUUAUUAAGCCAGGAUUCAAAGGAUCUAUUUCCAUAGCAUACUUUAAUUAUAUUCCUUGAAUUGCCAUGAGUGGAAUUUUAUUUUAUUAUAAACGAUGUAUUUAUUUUUAAAAAGUCAAAUAUAUUUCUUUUUUAAAGCUUAACAUUUUAUUACCAUCACCUAGAGAACAUCUGCUGAAAUGUUUGAAAAUUUCUGGGUAUUAAGUUUACAAAAUCAGCCUGGAAAUAAUUUUUAAUAUAGUUAGCUUUCUUACAGGUUUCUAAAAUAUUUCUAAUGAUCACUGAAAAGUAGCUACACUUUUUGCUAAAUGUUGAUAGAAAAAUAAAAACAUGUGAUUACCAAAUUUUGAUAAUUUAUCUUUGAGACUCCAGACACUUUUUAAAAAUAUUUUUAUCUUAAAAACAAUUUUUAAAUAGGGAAGAUAAAAUUUAAACCAGAGUUUUUUUUCAUGAGGUGAUUUUAUACUGUUAAAAUACCUAGCUCCAUAUUCGAGAUGCAUUUUGUUCCCUGUUCAAAAGUCUCAUGCCGUGAUAUCAUUAGUGUGUUUACACACUGCAAGCUUGGUAGAUGGGCUCGUGCAUGAAGCUGACCUUAUUUCUCAUCACCACCUCUCCUUCCAUGUUGCCCUAUCUUUUUUCCUGUCUUUCUGUUCCCAGUUUUACAACUUAUAGUUGUCCUUUUCAUUUCAUUAUAACCCCACCACUAAAGGAAAAUAAGUCUUUUCCCUUAGUCCAAACAUUUAACUACAAACUCCAUCCUGUUUUAGAAUACACAAUGAAGCCUCUUAAAUACUAUUAUCUAAAUAAUAUGUAAAGAAUGCAAAUGACGGCAAUGCUGAACAGUCAGAUACAGGAUAUCCCAGACUAAGGAUGAUGAACUCUCACACUUCUAUUUUGUGAAUUGUGACUUGAGCAGAUAGAUUUCUUUCUUUCUGUAUAACUAAGUGUCUCAGGACCAGGCCAGAAUUGGUUAAGUACAGAAUGUUAAGAUAAAGCCUGGUUUCUCCGGUAAUCUGUCUUGGUAAUUAUACUGAACUGAUGACACAUAUUGACAAAAUCAAUAUAUUUGCUCUUCUUUUCUGUUCGAAGUCUGUUUUGCCAUCAUAAAAAGCUUUCUGCCAUUUGAAUCUGGAUAUGUGUAUUCACAGAUAAUUUAUUUUAUUUAACAAAUUCUUAUAUCAUACUUUCAUGUUCUAACCUUAUUCUAAACACUUUACAGGUAUUAGUUUAUUUAAUCCUCUAGCUCUAUAAUUAUAGUUAUUAUAUAGUUAUUAUCAUUUUUCAAUUAAGAAAACCAAGGCACAGAGAUUUAUUUUAGAGUAGGCCCUUAAGUGAUGAGAGACUGCUAAGUGUGGGCCGAAUGGAUAGCUUAACAGUCAUGCUAAGAAUCAACAAAAAGAUGUGCAGGAGUUUUGGGAAGAUGAGUCUUCAUAGAAAGAGUCAGGGACUCAGCCGGGCCCAAUCUUAGAGAGCAACACAUCUUCCCUCCUUGGUUUUAAGCCUUGGGCUAUAUAGAGGCCAAACUUAGAAAGGAGGCACUCAGUCCUAAGACGUGGUCAUUGCUGUGGGCUUCAGCAGCCUCUGGGCCUGAUGAGGGGCUGUGCUGGCUCACUGUGCCUCGCGUAUGGCUGCACACAUUGCAAAUACCGGUGCAGGUGGAGAAUCUCCUCUCCCAGCCUCAACGCCAGCCAGCCCACCACAUUCUCCUUCUUGCCCUGCUUUCUUUGUGUAUUCCUUUGCAAAUAUUGUUCAGUAGUGUUUACGUAUGUGUAUUGUAUGAGGUUUAGAGAACCAUGUUAAGCAAUGAAGUUAAAGGACAAAGCUAUGUUUUCUCUUGGAAUUGGGGAUGGAAGAAAAUGAGAGAACAGGUAAAAGUAGGAAAUACGGAGAAAGGAGGAGACAUCAUGGAAAAGAAGAGAGAUACUGAGGGAAAAAAUGGUGAAAAAACAAGGAAGAAAGAAAAUUACUGAUUUGCUUUACACCCACAGCCCCUCCCCAGCUUCCUUUUCUUUGCCUGACCUGAGGUUCCUGGGGUGUUCUGCACUGUGGGAGUGGAAAAUUUCUCCCUUUCGCAUUUGAGACUUGGGUGUGCUGCCUUGAGAUGCCACGGGUAUCUGAGUAAUAUUUGUUUAUACUGGGUAUUUUUCUCUGUAGUCUUUGUGGAUGGGUCUCAGAAUACAAACAACACUGUUAGCAGAGCUGCAGGUACUCGAUUGCUAUGUUUAUUUUAUUAGUUAAAAAACUGCCAGAGCCCUAGGACUCCUGAGCACAUUUUAAAAAUACCAGAGGCAUUUUUAAGAAGCGCUUUAGAAAGAAAGAAAAAAUAAGAAGAAAAGUUAGGACUUUCAGACUCUGGAAUGCUGACCAACGUGGUAGGGUUUUUUUUAUUGUUUUCAAAGACUCUAUAUUAGGGUCUUUUCAUCAACUAUUUUUUAAAAGUGGGUUUUUAAGUAUGAUACUUUUGUUCCACAGGAUGUAAAACUAAAGUUAAUUCUUUAGGGAAUUUAGGAUUUUUUUGAAUCCACUUAAAUCAUCUCUAAUGACUUUUCUUGGUCAGAUCACAGGUCUGAAAGUAUUUCCUACUGAUUUGUGAUUGUAUUGGGACAGAAUCAUUGAAAUUGUGACACUUCCAGAAAAUCCAAAAUAUAUGGCCAGUUUUACCCUUAAACUUUCUGAUAAUUCAUUUUUGGGCCCCUGAAGUCUCUCUCUUUAUCUUGCUCUCUGUAGAAAGGUACACUAUUCAGUAGCAUUUGUGAAAAACACCCAGUUUAAAUAACAAAAUGUUGAGCUAAUCUAAAUGAUAAAAGUAUUGAUUUGAAGAAAUUAAUUUAUUUUUAAAUAUUCAUUCAUUUCUCAGGUGGAGAAAUGGCCUGGUCUUAACAGGCUUGAUUAGAUUCCCGUCAGUAAAACAAAGUAAACUAAAGAUUUUUUUCCUUGAUCAUUGCAUGACAAUAACAUACUGUUCAAACGUUUCAAGAAUCUCUAAUUAAUUUAGCCUUAGGGAAUAGCAAGGGGGAAAGGGACUUUUCUUUCUCAUUUGUCCUUUUUUUCAUUUAUCCAUUCCUUCCCCUACUUGUCUAUCCUGUCUUAUAAUCAUGGAAAUUUUUAUUUUCUCCCACUGUUCCUUAAAUGUUCCCCAUUUGUACAUCCUAGAUUACCACCACACCAAGUUUUCUUAGAAUUAGGCAGAAAUGGAAGCUGGACCUUUAGAAGCUUAGGGAAAUCAUCCCAUGUUUUCUCAGACUCUCCUCGCUCCCAAGAGGAGAGGAGAAAAACAGUAGUUGGUUUGUGACUGUUGCUUCUGUGGCUGCCCUAUUUGGUUGACCUCAGCUUUUUUACCUCCUUUCUUAAUGCUUAAAUCUACAAAUGAAAUUAGGGCCAGUCACACUGGUAUUUCCAUCAUCAGCUAUCCCUAGUGGUUCAAAUUUAGUGCAAACCUGCUAUGAGUACAUAUUAAUUAGGUGAAUAAAAUAGGAUGAAAUUACAACAUGAGUUUUUUAAUAACUAUUCUUUGAAUUAAGUGUGGUUUUAUCUUAUGAGUUUACAGUUGUUUUGUUGAAAAUCUAAAAAUAUCCUUAUAUGAGCAACUAAGUUGCUAACAGCCCAUGGUGUGAGUCAAACAUUAACUACAGUAAAACUCUGCUGGAAGUUCUUUACCUUUGAGAUGCAGGGAGCUAUUUCAAGUGAAGUUGCUCAUUCUCUGUGUGGAAUGGUGUGGGGGUCUUGCAACCUGAUUUACAGGUCAAAGUCUGAAUAAGAAUUUCCUUGUCCCUGUUUUCUGUACACUGUGUCACCGAACACCAGGUAUAAAGUACAUGAGCUUCUUUUAUUUUGCUACUUAUAGUCCAAUUCCAGGCCAGACAAUGUCGGAGACAACUAUUCUUCUGUAGAAAGUUUCAGGAGUCAGCUACUAACUACUGUGUCUGUAAAUGUGCUCUCAAACUAUUUUGUAGUCCUGCUAUUUUUAAAAAUGUGUGGGUAUGGGAAGUGAUGGUGAAUUAACUCAGGGUAAUUGGUGCUUCUCUGUAUUAAGAAAAGUCACACUAGUUGAGGAAGCCUGCUUUCAUGAGUUGUGUAUGUUUAAUUUUUUAAAAAUUCAUCCCACCUUUUCCCACUCCAGUUCCCACCCCUACCUCAUAAAUUCAAGCAAUGAAGGAAUUAGAGUCAUAGGAUUUUAUAGCUGGAAGGAUUUUUAGAGAGAAUCUGGUUAACUCUCUUAACUACAGUUGAGGAAAUUGAUGUCCAGUGAGGUCAAAUAAGAUCAUGUAGCUAGUGUAAAAACCUACAUGACAUUAGCAGUUUAUUUCCAUUGGUAAACACUGUUCUGAAUAAUCUGCCCUAACAGGUGCAUAAUCAGAAGGUAAUAUAAGGGGGAAUCACUAACAUCUGUAUGGUUUUCUCAUCCAUAUCUCAGUGGUUUCUCAGAAGAGCUCUGUGAAGUGUAGCUAUCGAGUUUCCAUUCAAGGAGAAAACAGGCUCCUGGACAGUCGGAGACCUGUCCAUGGCAGUCAUCCACCAAAAGGGCCAGUGCUCCCUGUCUUUGCAUCUUGACAGAACUGUCAGCUGGUCUCAAGAAGUUCUCAUGGACAACAGCAUGGGGAAUCACGUCUUCAUAUUAUAGCUUUAGCUCUAAAAUUGGACCAGUUAUUAACUUCUGGUCCAAUCUAUUUCAUCACUUAUAAAGGAGAAAAAAAAAACACGUUUGAAAGAGCUAUGAGCUCAUAAAUUUUUGAAAAGAAAGAUGCUGGAUAAUUGUAAAUAAAACAUAUUUUAAGAAUCUCCUUAUGAAUACAUUGAAACUGCAGGCAGCACAUAUUGAGCACCUCCCAUGUGUAAAGCAUAUUGUGCACUGCGCCAGUAGACCCAGAGAGAUGAGACAGGAUCAUGGCCUUCAGAGAAGAGGCAAACGCAGCCUGCUCUCCCUUCAAAGACUCAUCUAGAUAGAGAACUGUCCUUGAGAAAAGUCUGGUGCCGUCUGCCUUACUCUAGAGACAGGAGAGGUGUUAAUACUUAGGUCUGAAAUGGGUCAGUUUUUUUCCUAAAUAUUUGUAUUAAAGUAUUCACAUUAAACAAAACUUGUAAAAUACAGAAAAAAAGAAAAAUUACAUAUGUAUAUUCUGAAUUUUUUAAAUAAUGGUAUUUAUAUCUUACACAGAGAUUUUUCUUGGCUUUUCUUUAACUUGAUGGGAUAUCUAAAUGUUCUGUAUCAGUGCAUAACUUUGCAAAUAUAUUUUAAUGAUUACAGAAUUUCAGAAGGGAUCAAUUACUAUGUAUGUCAAUAAUCUGGCUAUUUUUCUAUGGCAAUUACUGAUGUUAUUUUACACAAAAUGAUGAAUAAAAGAUUCUAAACUAAGCUUGGCUACUACUAAGAAAUACUUCCUAAAAGUAUUUUUUUUAAAUAAUGAACUAAGUAGAUUACGUUCAAAUCUUUCUUUAAGAGCAUCAAAAUCACUUAAUUUCUUAAACUAUCCAUAGAAAUUUCAAUUUAUGUACAGUUGACCUAAAUUAGAAAUGGAUUUUUUUAAUUGUGAAAUUUAGAAACAAAAACAUUUUUUAAUGCAGUUUCCAUUAUAGUAUUGUGUUCCUCUGAAAUAAUGUCUCAUUACUCUAAAGGUAUAAAUACUAAUCAUGUUGAAUUUUUACUGUAUGGAGCAAUAUAAUCUAAUAGUUUUCAUUUAAAAAACAAGGACUGUAUAAAUUCUGAAUUCUGACAUUAUUCUAAUGAAAUUCAUCUUAAAUUCACCUAAUGUCCCUUUAGAAAUACGAUCUUCUAUUUCAACAGCACUGCGAGGGCAUCCCUGGGUGAGAGCCGCUCCUUGUGAGGAGCCCAGUGGAGCAAGAACCCCUGAAUGGGAGAGCUGAGCCGGCAGGUGGUGGAGGGGUGCAGCCUGGGAAGUGCUGACAAAGAUGUGCCUGGAGGAAGAGAGGGAUGAGGAGUGGGAGGAAAGUCCCUCCUUAGCCUGAUGGCUGGCAUGCCCUGACGCUCUGGAAUCCCCCUCCCUAGAGAGAAUGCCAGCCAAGGUGGGAGAGGAGGGGCUCCCACAGAGGGGGGCGUAGGGUAAUGACUACCAAAAGCUCUCUGAGGAGCUUGGAUAGCUGCUGUCUGGGGAACGCUGGCCUAGGUUGUAAUCAGUAUUAUUUUAAAGCAGAGUUUGGCAAAUGAAUAAAAAUAUGAUGAAUGAA